rnacentral:rRNA from 1 species
GAUGAACGCUGGCGGCGUGCCUAAUACAUGCAAGUCGAGCGAACAGACGAGGAGCUUGCUCCUCUGACGUUAGCGGCGGACGGGUGAGUAACACGUGGAUAACCUACCUAUAAGACUGGGAUAACUUCGGGAAACCGGAGCUAAUACCGGAUAACAUGUUGAACCGCAUGGUUCAACAGUGAAAGACGGUCUUGCUGUCACUUAUAGAUGGAUCCGCGCCGCAUUAGCUAGUUGGUAAGGUAACGGCUUACCAAGGCAACGAUGCGUAGCCGACCUGAGAGGGUGAUCGGCCACACUGGAACUGAGACACGGUCCAGACUCCUACGGGAGGCAGCAGUGGGGAAUCUUCCGCAAUGGGCGAAAGCCUGACGGAGCAACGCCGCGUGAGUGAAGAAGGUCUUCGGAUCGUAAAACUCUUUUAUUAGGGAAGAACAAAUGUGUAAGUAACUAUGCACGUCUUGACGGUACCUAAUCAAAAAGCCCCGGCUAACUACGUG